rnacentral:sRNA from 1 species
CACUGAAGACAGAAGUGUAAAGUGAGCUUUUUCUUCCAGACUCCAUGAAUUUGAUGAGCAGGUGGCUGCUGUUCGGGAAGGGAUGGCCCGCGUUGUGCCUGUCCCCCUCCUCUCUCUGUUCACCGGCUACGAACUGGAGACGAUGGUGUGUGGCAGCCCUGACAUCCCGCUGCACCUUCUCAAGUCGGUAGCCACCUAUAAAGGCAUCGAGCCUUCCGCAUCGCUGAUCCAGUGGUUCUGGGAGGUGAUGGAGUCCUUCUCCAACACAGAGCGCUCUCUCUUCCUUCGCUUCGUCUGGGGCCGGACGAGGCUACCUAGGACCAUCGCCGACUUCCGGGGCCGAGACUUCGUCAUCCAGGUGUUGGAUAAAUACAACCCUCCAGACCACUUCCUCCCUGAGUCCUACACCUGUUUCUUCUUGCUGAAGCUGCCCAGGUAUUCCUGCAAGCAGGUGCUGGAGGAGAAGCUCAAGUACGCCAUCCACUUCUGCAAGUCCAUAGACACGGAUGACUACGCUCGCAUCGCGCUUACAGGAGAGCCGGCCGCCGACGACAGCAGCGACGAUUCAGAUAACGAGGAUGUCGACUCCUUUGCUUCGGACUCUACGCAAGAUUAUUUAACAGGACACUAAG